AUUGAACGCUGGCGGCAUGCUCUACACAUGCAAGUCGAACGGUAACAGGCCUUCGGGUUGUGACGAGUGGCGGACGGGUGAGUAAUGCUUCGGAACGUACCGGGAGGUCGUGUGUAACGGAGCGAAACCUGUGCUAAUACCGCAUGUGAUCUGAGGAUAACAGCGGGGGAACAGGCAGCAAUGUUUGUCCUCGCGCCUUUGGAUCAGCCGAUGUCAGGUUAGUUAGUUGGGGGGGUAAAGGCCUACCAAGCCGACGAUCUGUAGCUGGUCUGAGAGGACGACCAGACAAAAUGGGACAGAGAGAACGCCCAGACUGCGAAGGGAGGCAGGAGGGGGGAAAUAUGGGCAAAGGGCGCAAGGCUGAUUCAGCAAUGACGGGGGGGGUAAGAAGGCCAUCGGGGUGGAAACCGCUUUUGGAAGGGACGAAAAGGCUGUGGGUUAGAACAGGGGCGGAUGACGGUACCGUAAGAAUAAGCAACGGCUAACUAUGUG
rnacentral:rRNA from 1 species